AGUGAACGCUGGCGAUAGGCCUAACACAUGCCAGUCGAACGGCAGCACAGUAAGAGCUUGCUCUUACGGGUGGCGAGUGGCGGACGGGUGAGGAAUACAUCGGAAUCUACUUUUUCGUGGGGGAUAACGUAGGGAAACUUACGCUAAUACCGCAUACGACCUACGGGUGAAAGCAGGGGAUCUUCGGACCCUGCGCGAUUGAAUGAGCCGAUGUCGGAUUAGCUAGUUGGCGGGGUAAAGGCCCACCAAGGCGACGAUCCGUAGCUGGUCUGAGAGGAUGAUCAGCCACACUGGAACUGAGACACGGUCCAGACUCCUACGGGAGGCAGCAGUGGGGAAUAUUGGACAAUGGGCGCAAGCCUGAUCCAGCCAUACCGCGUGGGUGAAGAAGGCCUUCGGGUUGUAAAGCCCUUUUGUUGGGAAAGAAAAGCAGCAGGUUAAUACCCCGCUGUUCUGACGGUACCCAAAGAAUAAGCACCGGCUAACUUCGUG
rnacentral:rRNA from 1 species